GCAUUGGUGGUUCGGUGGUAGAAUUCUCACCUUCCAUGGCGGAGACCCAGGUUUGACUCCUGAUCAAUGCA
rnacentral:tRNA from 1 species